GAUUUAUAAGAAACCCUUAGCUGAAUGCAGGGUGGGGAGAACGAAAGACAAAAGCAUCUUUUUUCAGAAGGGAAACUGAAAGAAAGAGGGGAAGAGUAUUAAAGACCAUUUCUGGCUGGGCAGGGCACUCUCAGCAGCUCAACUGCCCAGCGUGACCAGUGGCCACCUCUGCAGUGUCUUCCACAACCUGGUCUUGACUCGUCUGCUGAACAAAUCCUCUGACCUCAGGCCGGCUGUGAACGUAGUUCCUGAGAGAUAGCAAACAUGCCCAACAGUGAGCCCGCAUCUCUGCUGGAGCUGUUCAACAGCAUCGCCACACAAGGGGAGCUCGUAAGGUCCCUCAAAGCGGGAAAUGCGUCAAAGGAUGAAAUUGAUUCUGCAGUAAAGAUGUUGGUGUCAUUAAAAAUGAGCUACAAAGCUGCCGCGGGGGAGGAUUACAAGGCUGACUGUCCUCCAGGGAACCCAGCACCUACCAGUAAUCAUGGCCCAGAUGCCACAGAAGCUGAAGAGGAUUUUGUGGACCCAUGGACAGUACAGACAAGCAGUGCAAAAGGCAUAGACUACGAUAAGCUCAUUGGUACG
rnacentral:lncRNA from 1 species